rnacentral:rRNA from 1 species
UACGUAGGGGGCAAGCGUUAUCCGGAUUUACUGGGUGUAAAGGGAGCGUAGACGGCGUGCCAAGUCUGAUGUGAAAUACCGGGGCUCAACCCCGGGGCUGCAUUGGAAACUGUAUUUCUAGAGUGUCGGAGAGGCAAGUGGAAUUCCUGGUGUAGCGGUGAAAUGCGUAGAUAUCAGGAGGAACACCAGUGGCGAAGGCGGCUUGCUGGACGAUGACUGACGUUGAGGCUCGAAAGCGUGGGGAGCAAACAGG